GUUUAGAAAGGCCGACCGCUAGGUGCCAAAGAGAGGAAGUGAGGGCUGAGGUACAGGGACGGCGCUUGUCCACUCGGAGAAGAAGAGUGGCAGCUAUAUGAUCACGUGGUGGGAACCACCUCCUUUGCUUAAUCGCAGUCCCAUUUUCUCAGAUCAUCUGACAGAAAUCAGUGGCAACCCUUACAGGAUCAGUGACAGCCCAGUAGAAUUGAUUGACCCUCAUCAAGUCAACAUUUGGCCCAUCCCAAAGACAGCAUAUGAAGGAUAAUUUAAUGUGAAAAAGAAUAGGAGCAUUGACAGACGAGACAUUUUCAAAGUUGCCUGAGGUGGAUAUGUUUAGAUUUUUCCAGUGCUUGGCAUUCUUCCAGAUUUUCUUCAUUGCUGGAGUAUAAUUGUCUUGAAAUAAUUUGUUGAGGGUUUUUUGGUAUUGUCACCCCAAAUAACAAAAUUGUUUAUGACUAAAAGAGGUAUUAAGACUUUCUUUAAUAUGUUUUUGCCUGUCUGGUGGAGUGUGGAACACCAUCAUAGAGGACGUACUUACGAUGUCUCCACUAGCAGGCAGAAAACAGUUUCUGAAAGAUACAAUAUAAAUGCUGAGAUGGGGAAUAAUAUGAAAAUUUAUAGAAGUUUUUUGUUUUAAAAUUACAAUCUGUUCCCAUAUGCCCUUCCAAACCUGAGUGACUCUAAUCAGAUGCAUAUCGUUCUUAUGGACAGAACUGCACAUUUGUAGCCUUUGUCACUCUCUCACUCGUACUCCUCCAUGUAGAUCAAACUUUGUCAACUUGGUACCCUCCAAAUAUUUUGGACUAUAUCUCUCCCAAGUUAGCACAGCAAAGGCUGAUAUAGAGUAGUGGUUCCCAAACAUUUAAAAAUGAUUUUUUAUAGUUAGUAUGAUGCCACCAUGAUGUGUAGGGUAUCACAGGAUUUAUGAUGCUCUGCUGAAUCAUACUUUGAAUGAAGCCACACUUAACAGUGGGCUGUGGGCUAUGCCUUCCCUCCUUUUAGGGCCCAGAUAUGUAAGCACUGAAGCAGGCCAUGUGGGCAUAUUGUUGGAUUUGCAACUGUCUACUAAAUAAUAAUUUCAAAAAUGUCAAGAUCAAAAAUGUUCUGGAAUGGCUCAGCAACCCACCCACCCCAUUUAUCUAUGUACUUGCCAUUGUGUGUGUGUGUGUGUAUAGUUUUUAUGAUUAAUUUUAAUCAUUUUUAUCCAUUGUAUACUUUUUAUAAUUUUUACAUACACUGCUUAGAGAUGUAAGUAAUGAAGUGGUACAUAAAUACCUUAAAUACUUUUAACAUUUAAUAU